GGGUCACAUUGGGUCACAUGUCCUGGGGUGCUAUUUUGUAACCACUUACCGACUAUUCACUCCGUACACAUUUAUAAAAUUGACUGCAGCAAUACUCGUGUCUCGUGGCGGUUUUGGGUUCCAGCAAAUAUAUAGGAAGGAUAGAUAUAAAUAAAAAUAUUAGUUUUUGAAAUUAACAGUAAUAAAAAUGUUGCAAAGACAACAGCUGUACGCGGCAACAAGCAGGCAGCUUGCUAAUAAUAACGUAAAAAAGUGCUAUGUAAUCGACUGUUCAAAUAACUCUAGAGAUCGCCAAAGAUGGAUUUUUAUACAUUUCCAUCAUCAAUUACACCAUGUAAAUUGAAUAGACGAAAUGUAUAGUUAAAAGCAUUACGACUCUGAAACAUUGAUGGAUCUCCUUGGGUACCAGGAAGAAAGAGUCGGAUCUGCAGUCAGCAUUUUAUUGGAAAUAAAAAGUCAGAAGAUCUCGUAGUCCAAGCUUCAAUCCCACAAUAUUUCCUCCAAUUUAUAAAAGAAAAAGUUCAAAUCCAACUGCUGCUAUAAAUAGAUAUAAACUAGUGUUAAAGAGAUAAGUAAAUUAAUGGAUAACAUGACAACAAAAACUGGUUGCUCAACAAACUGAGAAAUCUUUAUCAUUAAAUAUUGUUCAUCCGAUAAGUCAACUUAAGAACCAAUAGAACUUUUAUUUAAAAAUUCUAAUAUAUCUUAUAUUAAUGAUGUUAUUACACAUGAAAAGGAACACAAGUGGCUUUCUUAGAUUAUGAUAAAGUAUUUCAAGAUAAUACAUUCAUAUGUAACCGAAUCAUCACUCCCGAUAGUUGUGAAGCAGAGACACAGUGUUAUUGUUCUGGUUUUGUAGGAAGAGUAAAAUUCUAUCUUAUCAACAGUAAUUUAAAAAUGAAGGGGAAAAAA